AGAGUUUGAUCCUGGCUCAGAACGAACGCGUGCGGCAGGCUUAAUACAUGCAAGUCGAGCGGGGGCUUCGGCUCCAGCGGCGGACGGGUGAGUAGCGCGUGGGAACGUGCCGAUCGGUGGGGAAUAACCUGCGGAAACGUAGGCUAAUACCGCAUACGCCCUACGGGGGAAAGAUUCAUCGCCGAUCGAUCGGCCCGCGUUGGAUUAGGUAGUUGGUGGGGUAAAGGCCUACCAAGCCGACGAUCCAUAGCUGGUCUGAGAGGACGAUCAGCCACACUGGCACUGAGAUACGGGCCAGACUCCUACGGGAGGCAGCAGUGAGGAAUAUUGCGCAAUGGGCGAAAGCCUGACGCAGCGACGCCGCGUGGGGGAAGAAGGUUUUCGGAUUGUAAACCCCUUUUAGGAGGAAAGAUGGGGUGGUUCGCCACCCGGACGGUACCUCCAGAAAAAGCCACGGCUAACUUCGUGCCAGCAGCCGCGGUAAUACGAAGGUGGCGAGCGUUGUUCGGAUUUACUGGGCGUAAAGAGCACGUAGGCGGUUUAGUAAGCCCCUUGGGAAAGCUACGGGCUUAACCCGUAAAGGUCGAGGGGGACUGCUAUGCUAGAGGGCGGGAGAGGAGCGCGGAAUUUCCGGUGUAGCGGUGAAAUGCGUAGAUAUCGGGAAGAAGGCCGGUGGCGAAGGCGGCGCUCUGGAACGUCACUGACGCUGAGGUGCGAGAGCGUGGGGAGCAAACAGGAUUAGAUACCCUGGUAGUCCACGCCGUAAACGAUGGGUACUAAGUGUCGGCAGGUUACUGUCGGUGCCGCAGUUAACGCAGUAAGUACCCCGCCUGGGGAGUACGGCCGCAAGGUUGAAACUCAAAGGAAUUGACGGGGGCCCGCACAAGCGGUGGAGCAUGUGGUUUAAUUCGACGCAACGCGAAGAACCUUACCCAGGUUGGACAUGCUCGUGGAAAAGCUUGAAAGAGUAAAGACCCCUUCGGGGGGGCGAGCUCAGGUGCUGCAUGGCUGUCGUCAGCUCGUG
rnacentral:rRNA from 1 species